ACGAACGCUGGCGGCGUGCUUAACCCCUGCAAGUCGAACGGAAAGGCCCUGCUUUUGUGGGGUGCUCGAGUGGCGGACGGGUGAGUAACACGUGAGUAACCUGCCCUUGACUUUGGGAUAACUUCAGGAAACUGGGGCUAAUACCGGAUAGGAGCUCCUGCUGCAUGGUGGGGGUUGGAAAGUUUCGGCGGCUGGGGAUGGACUCGCGGCUUAUCAGCUUGUUGGUGGGGUAGUGGCUUACCAAGGCUUUGACGGGUAGCCGGCCUGAGAGGGUGACCGGCCACAUUGGGACUGAGAUACGGCCCAGACUCCUACGGGAGGCAGCAGUGGGGAAUAUUGCACAAUGGGCGGAAGCCUGAUGCAGCAACGCCGCGUGCGGGAUGACGGCCUUCGGGUUGUAAACCGCUUUCGCCUGUGACGAAGCGUGAGUGACGGUAAUGGGUAAAGAAGCACCGGCUAACUACGUG
rnacentral:rRNA from 1 species